UUUAAAGACCAGAUGAGCGAAAGCUGGGGAAAAAAAAAAACAGGCACUGAGGAGCCAAAACCAGGCACUUCAAGGAUUUGAAGAUUGUGACUGCAGUGGUUGGAAAUCUCACCUUGUAAAAUAAUUUUAAAGUUGCAUUCUGAGAAGAAAGUACUGAUGUGGCCUUAGUCAAGAAGUAAAGUACGCAAAGAAGUGAAUCUGAAAAAAAUUUGAAAUUUCCAGGUAUGAAAUCGUUCAUUCAACCAUACUGACUCAAUAACAGCUAUCUGCAAGGCCCUGGGUAAAGAAGACAAAUAUGGCACUUAUCUGGAAACGUGCAGCAUAAAGAAAAAAA